GACGAACGCUGGCGGCGUGCUUAACACAUGCAAGUCGAACGGAGUGGCGAACGGGUGAGUAACACGUGGGUGACCUGCCCUGCACUUCGGGAUAAGCCUGGGAAACUGGGUCUAAUACCGGAUAGUGUGGGAUGGGCCCGGGGCCUAUCAGCUUGUUGGUGGGGUAAUGGCCUACCAAUGCGGCGACGGGUAGCCGGCCUGAGAGGGUGGACGGCCACAAUGGGACUGAGAGAGGGCGCAGACUGCUACGGGAGGCAGCAGUGGGGAAUAGUGCACAAUGGUCGGAAGCGUGAUGCGACGACGCCGCGUGGGGGAUGACGGCCUUCGGGUUGUAAACUCCUUUCACCAUCGACGCGGUAGAUGGAGAAGAAGCACCGGCUAACUACGUGCCAGCAGCCGCGGUAAUUC
rnacentral:rRNA from 1 species